rnacentral:rRNA from 1 species
AUUGAACGCUGGCGGCAGGCCUAACACCUGCAAGUCGAGCGAGCGGCAGACGGGUGAGUAAUGUCUGGGGAUCUGCCUGAUGGCGGGGGAUAACUACUGGAAACGGUAGCUAAUACCGCAUACCAUCAGAUGUACCCAUAUGGGAUUAGCUAGUAGGUAAGGUAACGGCUUACCUAGGCGACGAUCCCUAGCUGGUCUGAGAGGAUGAUCAGCCACACUGGGACUGAGACACGGCCCAGACUCCUACGGGAGGCAGCAGUGGGGAAUAGUGCACAAUGGGCGCAAGCCUGAUGCAGCCAGGCAGCGUGUAUGAAGAAGGCCUGCGGGUUGUAAAGUACUUUCAGUCGGGAGGCGUUACCGACAGAAGAAGCACCGGCUAACUCCGUGCCAGCAGCCGCGGUAAUAC